rnacentral:tRNA from 1 species
UGCAGGGUAGAGCAGUUGGCAGCUUGUCGGGCUCAUAACCCGGAGGUCGCAGGUUCGAGUCCUGCCCCUGCAA